AUUGAACGCUGGCGGCAUGCCUUACACAUGCAAGUCGAACGGUAACGGGCCUUCGGGUGCCGACGAGUGGGGAACGGGUGCGUAAUACAUCGGAACGUGCCCGAUCGUGGGGGAUAACGAGGCGAAAGCUUUGCUAAUACCGCAUACGAUCUACGGAUGAAAGCCGGGGACCGCAAGGCCUUGCGCGGACGGAGCGGCCGAUGGCAGAUUAGGUAGUUGGUGGGAUAAAAGCUUACCAAGCCGACGAUCUGUAGCUGGUCUGAGAGGAUGAUCAGCCACACUGGGACUGAGACACGGCCCAGACUCCUACGGGAGGCAGCAGUGGGGAAUUUUGGACAAUGGGCGCAAGCCUGAUCCAGCCAUGCCGCGUGCAGGAUGAAGGCCUUCGGGUUGUAAACUGCUUUUGUACGGAACGAAAAGCCUUCUUUUAAUACAGGAGGGUCAUGACGGUACCGUAAGAAUAAGCACCGGCUAACUACGUG
rnacentral:rRNA from 1 species